UACGUAGGUGGCAAGCGUUAUCCGGAAUUAUUGGGCGUAAAGAGCGCGCAGGUGGUUGAUUAAGUCUGAUGUGAAAGCCCACGGCUUAACCGUGGAGGGUCAUUGGAAACUGGUCGACUUGAGUGCAGAAGAGGGAAGUGGAAUUCCAUGUGUAGCGGUGAAAUGCGUAGAGAUAUGGAGGAACACCAGUGGCGAAGGCGGCUUUCUGGACGAUAACUGACGCUGAGGCGCGAAAGCGUGGGUAGCAAACAGGAUUAGAUACCCCCGUA
rnacentral:rRNA from 1 species